rnacentral:rRNA from 1 species
UAGCCGUAAACGAUACUCGCUAGGUGUCGGCCACGGUGCGACCGUUGUCGGUGCCGUAGGGAAGCCGUGAAGCGAGCCACCUGGGAAGUACGGCCGCAAGGCUGAAACUUAAAGGAAUUGGGCGGGGGAGCACCACAACGGGUGGAGCUUGCGGUUUAAUUGGAUUCAACGCCGGAAAUCUUACCGGGACCGACAGCAACAUGAAGGCCAGGCUGAAGACUUUGCCGGAUUAGCUGAGAGGAGGUGCAUGGCGUAGUCGUGU